GUUUUUAGUAUCGGUAUUGAUAUAUAAAUAACUUUUAUAUUACAUACCAGACGCAAGCGGAAGCUUUUGGUUCACGACAUCGUGCGACCUGUUGCGUUGCGUUGCGUUGUGGCUGCUUUGCCGGAUAAUAAUUAAUAACUCGGUGGAUAUUAAUAAACUUACUGCUCACAAAGCAACAAAGGGCGCAUUGGAGCGUACGGAAAUGGCGCUACACGAUGACUACGAUGACAAGACAAAAUAAAAAAUGUGUUUCUUUACAAAAUACUCUUAAAAAAGCACAAAGAACUAAAAGAAGCUUCGUCCAAACACGAAAAACCUUUAACUAAAUGCUUUUACCAUCGCCAUCCCAAGAUUAAAUGGCGGCGCAAAAAAUCCAUUAAAGUGAGUAAAUACUGCGUGUAUCACGCCGCAAAAGUAAAAAAAAUAUAUAUAUUGGCGUAGUUCUCCCCCUAUAUUCAAUCACAGACAUGCGUUGAAAAGAGAAAGAAGCCCGGCUAAUAGACGAUAGAGACAAGUUGAAGGAUUCAAGGACAUUGAAGCAUGCGUUGUUAAUAACGUGUUGAACUCGAGACUCACUCACAGCCCACAGCCUAGAGAGCAAUCGGCUACAAACGAAACACAAACAACAAAAAACUAUUCGAGGUAGAAUGUCAUCGUUAGA